UACGUAGGGGGCAAGCGUUGUCCGGACUUACUGGGCGUAAAGAGCGCGCAGGCGGUCGUUCAAGUCGCGUGUGAAAGCCCCCGGCUCAACUGGGGAGGGUCACGCGAUACUGAUCGACUCGAAGGCAGGAGAGGGUAGUGGAAUUCCCGGUGUAGUGGUGAAAUGCGUAGAUAUCGGGAGGAACACCAGUGGCGAAGGCGACUACCUGGCCUGUUCUUGACGCUGAGGCGCGAAAGCUAGGGGAGCAAACGGG
rnacentral:rRNA from 1 species